AAGUCGUAACAAGGUCUCCGUUGGUGAACCAGCGGAGGGAUCAUUACCGAGUUUUUACAACUCCCAAACCCACUGUGAACCUUUACAACGUUGCUUCGGCGCUGCGCCCCGGGCCCCCGUGCCCGGAGCCAGGCGCUCGCCGAGGGCCCCAAACUCUUGUUUUUACAGAAGCAGUCUGAGUGGCGUAAUGCAAACAAAUGAAUCAAAACUUUCAACAACGGAUCUCUUGGUUCUG
rnacentral:misc_RNA from 1 species